GUUUUAUAUAAGUUAAAUGCACAAACGUGCAACAUUAAAUAUCCCCAUGUGACAAUAGUAAUUGCUGUACAAUCAAUGUCAGGAAAAAAAACUGGUAAUACAGUUAGUACAGUGGAUAACAGAAGUAUAAUUAUUGUUGAACUUUCCUCCAGUAAAAUGUCAGUAGCUGAAUUUGACCUCACUUCAGAGUGUGACUUGACCUCAGAGAAGAGUAUCCUUUGGGUAAAAUGGUUGAUCGGGAUCCAGAGUAAAUCAUUGAGUGCUAAUGGGUACCUUAAGGGUUCACAUGAUUGAUUGAUUGAGUCAUCACUGACGAAGUCAUCUAGAGAACAACACUAAUUGGUGAAAAGUUGGAUUGUGGAGAUAAAAUGUAUUCAGACCCUAUUCCUGAGAUUUAAAAUGAGGUUGCAUUAAAUAGAAUUUGAGUUCUACUCUUUAUCAUUUUACCUAACAGUACGUCUAUUCCAUUGUUUUGUUUCUAAAUGGAUGAGAAUGAAGAGGUUGGUUUCCAUGUUGUCCACAAGCUAUUGACUAAGUCAUCUAAUUCAACUAAUUUUAAUUCGUAUCUCUGAAUAAUUCUGCUCUGGGAGAUAAGAAUUCUCCUUGUAUAGUCAGUGUUCCAGCAGUUCAGCAGCAGCUUUUUAUGCAGAAUAAGAUUAAAGACAUAAAUUGUCUUGUAUUUUUAGUGUUUAUCACUGUCAUGCAAUGGAGGACUUGUCAAAACUCACAGUGUAAGGCUUCUU